CGUAGGAUGGCGGGGGUAGUAAGCGGGGGGCAAGUCCGGUGUCAGCCGCCGCGGUAAUACCGGCCCCGCGAGUGGUCGGGGUGAUUAUUGGGCCUAAAGCGCCCGUAGCCGGCCCGGUAAGUCUCCCCUAAAAUCCCCGGGCUCAACCCGGGGAUUGGGGGAGAUACUGCCGGGCUAGGGGGCGGGAGAGGCCGAGGGUACUCCCGGGGUAGGGGCGAAAUCCGUUAAUCCCGGGAGGACCACCCGUGGCGAAGGCGCUCGGCUGGAACGCGCCCGACGGUGAGGGGCGAAAGCCGGGGGAGCGAACCGGAUUAGAUACCCGGGUAGUCCCGGCUGUAAACGAUGCGGGCUAGCUGUUGGGUGGGCUUAGAGCCCACCCAGUGGCGCAGGGAAGCCGUUAAGCCCGCCGCCUGGGGAGUACGGCCGCAAGGCUGAAACUCAAAGGAAUUGGCGGGGGAGCACCACAAGGGGUGGAGCCUGCGGUUCAAUUGGAGUCAACGCCGGGAAUCUUACCGGGGGAGACAGCAGGAUGACGGCCAGGUUAAAGGCCUUGCCCGACGCGCUGAGAGGAGGUGCAUGGCCGUCGCCAGCUCGUGUCGUGAGAUGUCUGGUUAAGUCCAGCAACGAGCGAGACCCCCACCCCCAGUUGCUACCCCGGCCUCAGGGCCGGGGGCACACUGGGGGGACUGCCGCCGUUUAAGGCGGAGGAAGGAGGGGGCCACGGCAGGUCAGCAUGCCCCGAAUCCCCCGGGCUACACGCGGGCUACAAU
rnacentral:rRNA from 1 species